rnacentral:rRNA from 1 species
CGUGUAGGCGGGAUGCCAGGUAUCAUGUGAAAGCCCCGGUCUCAAACCGGGAAUUGCACGGUAAACCUGCAUUCUUGAGGCAGGCAGAGGUGACUGGAACGACUGGUGGAGCGGUGAAAUGCGUAGAUAUCAGUUGGAACGCCGGCGGCGAAAGCGAGUCACUGGGCCUGUCCUGACGCUGAGACGCGAAAGCGUGGGUAGCAAACAGGAUUAGGAUACCCUGGUAGUCC